rnacentral:ncRNA from 2 species
CUAUCAUCGAGAAAGGUGGAGGGACUGGCCCUGAGAAGCCUUGGCAACCGUCACGCACAGUGAUUGGUGCCAAUUCCAUCCCGGACUGCGAGCCGGGAGAGAUGAUGG